UACGUAGGGCGCAAGCGUUGUCCGGAAUUAUUGGGCGUAAAGAGCUCGUAGGCGGCCUGUCGCGUCCGCUGUGAAAUCCCGGGGCUCAACCCCGGGCCUGCAGUGGGUACGGGCAGACUAGAGUGUGGUAGGGGAGAUCGGAAUUCCUGGUGUAGCGGUGGAAUGCGCAGAUAUCAGGAGGAACACCGGUGGCGAAGGCGGAUCUCUGGGCCAUAACUGACGCUGAGGAGCGAAAGCAUGGGGAGCGAACAGG
rnacentral:rRNA from 1 species